rnacentral:lncRNA from 7 species
CGGGCUCUGAUCUUCAGAAAUAUGCCCUAGGAGCGGGAAAAGCGCGUAAGACAUGCAGUAGGCCGUUCUGCGUCAUAAGAACAAGCUCUCAAAUUCAAUCUUGUGGGGAAGAUUUUCACAGAAGAGGCCUGCUGAGUGCAUGCAAUAGCUGGAAGAUUGUUGGAAUACACUUGAGCACUGAAAUCUAUACAUGACUUAUAACACAACAUUCUGCUACUACUGGUUUACUCCUUCCAUACCAAAGUGUUGGGAGAAAUGUGUGGCAGAUGUAUUUCAUGGAGGAUGCUGCUGUUCUCAGCAGGAUGCCCGUUCAGCCUGCACUUCCAUCUUGCUGCUAGGGAGCACUUUGAGGAAUUGACCAUUAUCAAGGGAGAGGAAAGCCUGGAUGUGAAGACGAAAGGCUUAAGCUUCAUAGUUUACGAACCCAGUGCACAUAGGAGUGCCAAUUUUGGAGCAGGCUUGUGCUGGGAUGGUAGGACCUUGUAGCUCUACGGGAAAGAGGAGUUCUGUGAUGCAGUAAAACCCCCAGAAAUUGAGCUGCAUUCCCAGUGUGCUGUAGGCCAUAAUACAAGUGUUGCUGGUGUUGUUAAUAUAUGCACAAUAUAAUGAAUAUUAUUACUAUUGUUAAACACUUUCAUUGUAGUUAAUGUAGGUACAAGUAAAAGCCUACUGAAAAAUAAGAGUUAAGUAGAGUAAUGACAAGAACAGGCAUUACACAGUCACUGUAUCUCAACAAAGCCCAACGUUGUGGAAUUCUACCCAUCCCACAAGAAAAUAAUCGUAAUGUCAGCCAGCAAGUGCAGUUGUGUGGUUGUUACAUUACAUAUUGCUCUAUGCUUAUAUGCUAAUCACAGAAUGACUGAGUAAGUACAGAUAUUACUCAGAAAAAAAAGUGUUAAAAUUUGACAAAAAAAAAAAAAAAAAGCGGUGCUUUGUUGUAGUCUGCCCGUAGGUCCUUUAGAUCAGAUUUAACUUUUUAACUCUUGGAGAUGUGUGAAGAUAAGUGUGUUGCUGAAAGGUCUGUAUGAUUUGUCUGAAAAUGGAAUUGUUGCUCUUUUCUCUGUUAAGCGGUCCUGGAUCACACUGUUGUCAAGUAACAAUGCAGUCUGUAGCAUGAAUAUUAAGGUUGGAUUCUUAAAAU